rnacentral:rRNA from 2 species
CGACCUCGGAUCAGACGUGAAUACCCGCUGAACUUAAGCAUAUCAAUAA